rnacentral:rRNA from 1 species
AACGAACGCUGGCGGCGUGGAUGAGGCAUGCAAGUCGAACGCUCUUUGUCGUGUAGCAAUAUAUGGCAAAGGGAGUGGCGCAAGGGUGAGGAAUACGUGGGUAAUCUGCCUCCUAGAUGGGCACAACCUGGCGAAAGCCGGACUAAUUCCCAAUGUGGUAGUCGCGCGCAUGCGCGACGAUCUGAAGCCGGGGACCGCAAGGCCUGGCGCUAGGAGAUGAGCUCACGCCCUAUCAGCUUGUUGGUGAGGUAACGGCUCACCAAGGCUUACGGGUAGCUGGUCUGAGAGGACGAUCAGCCACACUGGGACUGAGACACUGCCCAGACUCCUACGGGAGCUGCAGUCGAGAAUCUUUCGCAAUGGGGGAAACCCUGACGAAGCGACGCCGCGUGCAGGAUGAAGGCC